rnacentral:rRNA from 1 species
CGCGUAGGCGGAUGUUACAGUCAGGCGUGAAAUUCCUGGGCUCAACCUGGGGGCUGCGUUUGAUACGUGAUGUCUGGAGUUCGGAAGAGGGUCGUGGAAUUCCCAGUGUAGAGGUGAAAUUCGUAGAUAUUGGGAAGAACACCGGUGGGGCGAAGGCGGCGACCUGGUCCGAUACUGACGCUGAGGCGCGAAAGCGUGAGGAGCAAACAGGAUUAGAUACCCUGGUAGUCCACGCUGUAAACGAUGUGCGCUGGAUGUUGGGUGACAUAGUCAUUCAGUGUCGUAGCUAACGCGAUAAGCGCACCGCCUGGGGAGUACGGCCGCAAGGUUGAA